AGGUAGAGUAGGAGAUCUUUGAAAAACGGUUCCUGUGAGCUAUAUUUUUGAAAAUACACAGCCCGCCUCUCCCUUCAGCCCUCCCCUCAAAGCCACGCCUUCAAAACACAUGAACGCGCAUGCAGUCUGUCAAGUGUUCGGAUUAUCCCGGGAACCCACGAGAGCUCACGAGGCGGGGCUAGAACUAGAAGCCACGUCAAAUCGAUUAGCCAAGCUAACUUCCAGCCAUGGCACUGUCUCCGGCUACGACCUUCCACGACCACGACGAGAGCUCCAGCUUUCCUGGCCCAUCACAAUCAUAACGACCUAACAGCCCAGUAGGACCGAUGGCCAGAGAUGGAGGAGGAGGAAGAUAGACGCAGCAGAGGUCGGGGAUAUUGAUUAGGAAGACUCCAACAGAAUUGACGCCCUGCUAACUGCCUUGAUUCAAUCAUUGAAUUUGAAGCAAUCCCAUCGGUUACUGCAGCGUGCCCUGAUCCGUGACCCCAGUUUGAUGUUCGACCUGGCACAUGACAUCUGGUCCUCAGCCACAGCCCAGUAGCACAACCAACCUGGCGCCUCUGCGCAAUCUGUAAGGAGAUGCCCAUGAACAUUGAAAGGAAAUGCUGUGGUGUUCUCAGUUUUGAUGGAAGACUUUGGGCUGAUGUAGGACUAGGUGAGAGAAACGGACUCUUCAGGCAUGCAGCCUACAGACAGUAUGGGGCACUUGAACAGGGUUGACGUUGUAAUACACAGUACAAUACCCAGGAUUAGCCAGGG